GUCCGUGUAGCUCAGCGGGAUUUAGAGCGCUGGUCUGCGAAGCCAGAGGGCGGGAGUUCAAAUCUCUCCACGGACA
rnacentral:tRNA from 1 species